UCCUCCUUUUAUAGCCUUCACCAGCCCUCUCUCCUCCCCUAUUCCGAAACAGGGGAGGAUGGAGUUCCUUGCGAACGGUNGGGUGCUGACCUACAACUGGCCGUGAGCUCGCUGGGAAGGUGUUUGGAUGGAUUUGGAAGAGGAAAUCUGGGAUACGUGCUGAUCCGGAACAAACUAACGCGGAGGAACUUGGAUAUGGC
rnacentral:lncRNA from 1 species